ACUACCCGACCCGGUUGACCUGACCCGCCGACCCGACUCAUUUUAAUUGGGUAAUUUCCUAUUUUUUCUUUAAUUCACGGGUCGGGUACCCGACUCGGGAAACAGUACAGCAAUCUGGGUCGGGUCAUGGGCCUUCUUAUGUGAUUCGCAGGUACCCGAAAACCCGAAAGCUGAUUUUUUUUUUUAAAAAAUAUUGUUUAUAGCCUGGAACACCUAACUAGGGUUACAUUAUUUGACUCACAAACUUCCAGCCGCAAUACCUCUCUUUUUCUCUAUUGUGUUCCUCUUCAUUCCACUCUAAUGGAGUCUGAUCUCCUUCUCUCUCUCUUGAAGAACUUCAGCUUAAUUGACUGCCCCACUACACGACACCACAAGUUCUCUAUUUAAUUCAUGGUUUUUUCACCAAUUCAACCAUAAUCACAAUGUUUUUUUGGCGACUCUAGCGAGGUGAUGUGUAUUUCUCCAUCUAUUAGAUCUUUAUUUCCAUCUUCAUUCUUUUUUCUCCUCUUUAAGCUGUGGUGCCAUCAUCGAUUCUCUAACCCAUGUUCUUCUUUUUCAUAGUCUAGGCUACUUGUCUUGAUUAUCAACACCAACAUGCCAUAUCACAUAUUCUUGGUUUCUUUUGUUAGAAAUAAUAUUGAAUUCUCAAAUUGGCAGGAACCUUUUCUUGUACUUGAGAUGAUUUUGAGCUUGUUAAUUAAUUUGGCAGCUGCAGUAAGCAAUUGGAUGUCUAAUUUUCAUACGAAGUAUCAAAUUUAGAGCAAAAAAAAUUUAUAAUGUAAAAAAAAAUGAUAAGAAAUUGGGUACCCGUGACCUGACCCGAGAAAUCCGGGUACCCGAAACCCGGGUACCCGAGUUUCUCUAGUCGGGUCAUGGGCCGCCUUUUAAACUACCCGGUAAUCCGGCUACCCGCAUUUUCAGGUACCUGAAAAUCCGGGUACCCUGAUUUGAACACCCCUAGCUAGCAGCAGUGUCUGGUGUGAACCUAAAGGCUGAAAUAAGGGUGUGUGUUAGGCAUGUUUAUUGUAACUUCAAAGGGGGUUUUUGGUGGGGGCAUGGAAUUCAAAAUACAAUUUUGGAUUAUAGCAAAAAGUACCACUAAGAAUGAAUUUGUCAAAAACAUUGAAGUGAUCAGAGCCGUAAUUGCAGAUGUUGUUGAAGAUUUGUUGCAAAGGGAUUACAAGAAAUAGUACAAAGCUCUCUAUAGUCCAAUGUCAUGUUUUGAUAGUGUUGAUAACAACUUCAGUGAGGUUUUUAAUGCCUAUAUUCUGAGUUCUAGGCAUAAGCCAAUCAUUACAAUGCUUGACAAUAUCAAGGAGGGGUUGAUGGAGAGACUACACAAAAAAAAAAAAGAUGAGAUUGGUAAGAAAACAAAUAUUAUUUGCCCAAGGAUACAACAAAGAAUGGAAAAGGUCAAAAUAUGAUCAAGGGGAUGGAAUGCUUUCUAGGCUGGGGCUUUUGCUAUGGGGUGAGAAAGGGUGCUACAUAUGACAAAUUUGUUGUUAACUUGGAGGACAUAACUUGCAAAGCAUUGCAUUUGCAAGUUAGUGGAAUUCCUUGCAAGCAUGAUCUGAUUGCUAUUUGGAAUAAGGUAGACCAGCCUGAGACUAUGUCAAUGAGUUUUUCACUAAGGAGAAGUACAUGAAAGCAUAUGAAUUUCGCUUGAGCCUUUAAAUGGUCCUCAAGAAUGGCCACAUGGUGAUACCCCUUGUGAUCCCUCCUAAAUUGAAAAAGGUGUAGGGAAUACCUAAGGCUAAGAGGAGAUAUCAUGUUGGGCAGACCACAACUACAGGUAAGUUGAGGAAAACAAGAAAUCCUAAGUCAUGCAACCUAUAUGGCUUGAAGGGACAUAAUAAAAGAGGAUGUAAGAAUGCUCCAAGAGAGAAGGAAUUCAGCACACAUACACACCUAAGGUGCCUUAAACCCCUGUAGAUGCACCUAACACAUCUGUCCCCAUGUAUAUGAGAGGGUCUGGGGUCUACACAUAUGCUAAUGGAUAUCAAAGAGUAGCAUUAGUUCAAAACCAUUACAGACCCUCUCAACGGCAACCACAAAGGGCCUUUUAUAGCAAUAUUGAAGGAGAGCAAACUACGUACUCCUUCAGUCAAGAUCAGUAUUCUAUGUCAAGCCAAACCAAAGCCAAAACAUCAACAGCAUUUCAAGUCAAGCAUUGUAGGAUUUAGUAAAGAAGAAGAUAAACAACAAGAAGUAGAAGCAUCAGGUUAUGGCCUGUAUAUAUCACAUUUUCCCACAGGAGGCUUGUAGAAUUAUCUUCAUGCUCAGUGUUGUGAUGUUUGCAGGUUCAGUAAGCAGUGGCUGAAGCAGGAACUGAGACAAAGGAACUUUAGAAGAUCCAUGAGGACAAGUAAAGACAGAAGAAGAGUUCCAGCAAUGGAACUUCCCGAAGUUUCUUAACAGGAACUUCAAAACGGGUUGUAAUGACCUGGUUCCGGUGUAAUGCUGGGGCAAGCCUCAACAACCAAGGAUCAGUGCAAAGAACGAGAUGUCAACCGAAAAAGAUGGACUUCAUAACUUAUAGUUGUAUAAAAGAUAACUUUAUUUUGAAGGUUGAUGUAAACAUGUUAAUGGUUGUUAUGCAUGGAACUAACAUAUUAGAAAUCAGAUAAGGCUUGGCAAACUAAUCAAUUUGUAAAAGAUAAUUAUAAG